rfam:Microgenomates (Woesebacteria) bacterium GW2011_GWB1_38_5b TS96_C0031, whole genome shotgun sequence.
UGGGGGAUCUGCUAACGGUAGGCAUACAGACUCUGAAUCUGUCAAUCUAGGUUCGAAUCCUAGUCCCCCAG